GCCCGGAGGACCCUCAGUAGUCUGGGGUGCAGACUUCAAACCCAUAGCUGUCUAGCAAUAGAGUGGUUCAAUUCCAUCAUUCGGGUG